rnacentral:rRNA from 1 species
GAUGAACGCUGGCGGCGUGCCUAAUACAUGCAAGUCGAGCGAACGGACGAGAAGCUUGCUUCUCUGAUGUUAGCGGCGGACGGGUGAGUAACACGUGGAUAACCUACCUAUAAGACUGGGAUAACUUCGGGAAACCGUAGCUAAUACCGGAUAAUAUUUUGAACCGCAUGGUUCAAAAGUGAAAGACGGUCUUGCUGUCACUUAUAGAUGGAUCCGCGCUGCAUUAGCUAGUUGGUAAGGUAGCGGCUUACCAAGGCAACGAUGCAUAGCCGACCUGAGAGGGUGAUCGGCCACACUGGAACUGAGACACGGUCCAGACUCCUACGGGAGGCAGCAGUAGGGAAUCUUCCGCAAAGGGCGAAAGCCUGACGGAGCAACGCCGCGUGAGUGAUGAAGGUCUUCGGAUCGUAAAACUCUGUUAUUAGGGAAGAACAUAUGUGUAAGUAACUGUGCACAUCUUGACGGUACCUAAUCAGAAAGCCACGGCUAACUACGUG